rnacentral:lncRNA from 1 species
UUUAGACUUUAUAAUUGUAUAGAUUUAAAUCAUCUGAUAAUCGUUCAAAAUAACUGCCAGAUCUAGAACGGUUAUUGCCAAUAGUUGCCGUGGUGCACAAGAUAACUCCGGCUAGGGUUUCCGUACGCAUAACACGUCAUCUUUCCGGCUGAUCUGUUGUACGGAACCGGCGGCUUUGAAACAUGAUAGAUACAUCGGUUUCCGGCGGCAUCCGGAGAUCUCGCGGCGGAGGAGAGAGGAGAUUUCGGAGAUCCGGCGUCGUGUGUGGUGGUGCUGAUGGAGGAAGAAGAUCCAGAGGCGGUGGAACGUGACGGUGACGGUGACGGUGACGGAGAUGAUCUCUUCGGAGGUUAACGAGAUCUUCAUCGGAGGUGAUGGAUACGAGUGCAUCUAGGUCUUCAGUCGGCAAUUGACAACGUAAAGUUGCAGAGGUUCCACACAAUUCACCGAGUUUCACCACGGUGAACGGCGAGGACGCGAGUUUGACCGCCGUGGUAGCGGAGCUUGCCGUCGGGAUAACGAGGGAGGAUUUUGCCGCCGUAACUGCAGAGGAAUUUGAUUGUAGUGGUGGUGGAAUUAUGUGUGUUAAGUGCCAUGGUGAUUUAAAAGAGAAGGUAGAAGGUUGAAG